ensembl:lncRNA
CUCGUUAACAUGUAUACACACAUAUGCACUCACAUGCACUCAUGUUCCACAAAGACACAGGAGACACAUGCUCACACCAGCAUCUCUCUCUGUUUCUCCUACGCACCCACGCACUGACACACACAGACACACACACACACACACACACACGCAGAGGGCCCUGUCUUAAAUACACACACCCUUCGAGCACUCACACGCACUGCUUCAUGCAACAUUCACACAGUCUCCAAAACAAAUUUUCAGAGCUAUUACACCUGUCUCCUUAUUUAUGGAGCACUUACACAUACACACCUUAUUCCAGUUCUCAUUCAGUCACAUGCAAUAACAUUUCAAUGUGAUAUCUUCCUUAAGUAAGACUCCCAGAGUGCUGCCCUUGAUCUAAGUGGAAUCUCGCCUGGCAUGGACACUCUAAACUCAUUUCCACCACUCACUCACUAGGGAGAGUCCAACAACCAUGCACCGCCAUAGUUUUUUUGAACCCCACAAAAUCAUGAUCCUUACCACAGGAGAACGUCACUCAAAAAUGAAGAAAUCAGACACGCUGACUCAACAGAUUUGGAGCCUUUUCCUGCUCAGAUCAGUGUGAAGUUUACGAUACCUUUGGUCAGUGGCGAUUGAUACAGAUCAUGUCCACAGAGAGCUUUUAUUUCCAUUUAGUACUGCCCUCAGACGAUAAAUAAGAUAGUUACAUGUCUCCCAGAAGACAAAAUACUAACAAUUUACACAGAUCAUCCUGUUUACAUCACCCUGGCUCUUAAUGUAUCGUGUUACCUUCCUGAGCAUCAGUGAAUGUCUGCACUUAUGUAAUAGUCAUUCUGUGUACGAGUCCCUCAGUUGUCAUCAGUGUGAAAAGAUGGAUCUCGACAUCAUCGAGAUGAUGGGGUCAUAUACGUAGAAUAUGAUGGAAAAGCAAAGAAUGUACAGGACCCAGAGGAUUUUUCUGAAGAAUAGUGGACAGUUUAACUGCUCAGGAAAAACAAAGGACUCAUGAACAACUAUCACAAAACAAAAAAACAGUCGUGGAUCCUCAUCAUCAUCACGUAAUGACACACAGUAUUAAGAAUCAAGUGUAUUUAAACUUUUGAACGGGCUAACUUUUUAUAAAUUCAGCUAUUAUCUUGUCUUGUGGACUGUAUGUAAACAUCUGUUUGUCACGUGUCGUAACGUAACGGAGAUAAGGACGGAUGCAAUCGCAGGUUAACGGUUUUAUUGAGAGACACAGGCAGGUUAAUCCAAAACGUGAUUCAAAAACGUAAUCCAAAACAUGAAAGAGGUCAGGCGAUCGGCAAACAGGCGUGAACGGGGCAAGGCAGGAAACUAUGUCGUGGUCAUGGAAAACAGGGUCGAGAUACAAAACAUGAAACAUAAGCUAUGACUAUGAACUGGGAGCAGAGAAACCAGCGUGAACUAAACAGACGAAUCUAAACAUGAACCAUGAAACAUGACAUGAACUAUGACUGUGACUGUGACUGUAGACUCUAAACUAAUCUACUAUACUGUAUCGAAUCGAGUCAAAUAUUCCGCGCCAUGUGCUGGGAGGCGUGUAGUAUACAUACAAACAUAAUCAGCGUUGUAAUGGCUGACGGCUGAGGGCAAUUCAGACACACGUGAAACAACAACCAAUGACAGAAUUUAGUGUUCG